ACAAACUUGGUCAUUUAGAGGAAGUAAAAGUCGUAACAAGGUUUCCGUAGGUGAACCUGCGGAAGGAUCAUUACGAGGAAAGGGCGCCGGCCUCCGGCGCCCCCCAACCCAUCCGUGUCUACCGUACCUACGUUGCUUUGGCGGGCCCGCCUCCCCCCGCUCGGGGGGAGGCCGCCGGCGUCCAGGGACGCUGGCCAGCGCCUGUCAGGGGACCUCUAGAACCCGUGUCAACCGUGGACCCUCUGAGUUGAACCGAAUAGUUAAAACUUUCAACAAAGGAUCUCUUGGUUCUGGCAUCGAUGAAGAACGCAGC
rnacentral:misc_RNA from 1 species